rnacentral:rRNA from 1 species
UAGGGAAUCUUCGGCAAUGGACGAAAGUCUGACCGAGCAACGCCGCGUGAGUGAAGAAGGUUUUCGGAUCGUAAAACUCUGUUGGUAGAGAAGAACGUUGGUGAGAGUGGAAAGCUCAUCAAGUGACGGUAACUACCCAGAAAGGGACGGCUAACUACGUGCCAGCAGCCGCGGUAAUACGUAGGUCCCGAGCGUUGUCCGGAUUUAUUGGGCGUAAAGCGAGCGCAGGUGGUUUAUUAAGUCUGGUGUAAAAGGCAGUGGCUCAACCAUUGUAUGCAUUGGAAACUGGUAGACUUGAGUGCAGGAGAGGAGAGUGGAAUUCCAUGUGUAGCGGUGAAAUGCGUAGAUAUAUGGAGGAACACCGGUGGCGAAAGCGGCUCUCUGGCCUGUAACUGACACUGAGGCUCGAAAGCGUGGGGAGCAAACAGGAUUAGAUACCCUGGUAGUUCACGCCGUAAACGAUGAGUGCUAGAUGUAGGGAGCUAUAAGUUCUCUGUAUCGCAGCUAACGCAAUAAGCACUCCGCCUGGGGGAGUACGAC